rnacentral:rRNA from 1 species
GACGAACGCUGGCGGCGUGCUUAACACAUGCAAGUCGAGCGGUAAGGCCCUUUCGGGGGUACACGAGCGGCGAACGGGUGAGUAACACGUGGGUGACCUGCCCUCAGCUCUGGGAUAAGCCCGGGAAACUGGGUCUAAUACCGGAUAUGACUCCAUGACGCAUGUUGUGGGGUGGAAAGCCUUGUGCGGCUGAGGAUGGGCCCGCGGCCUAUCAGCUUGUUGGUGGGGUGAUGGCCACCAAGGCGACGACGGGUAGCCGGCCUGAGAGGGCGACCGGCCACACUGGGACUGAGAUACGGCCCAGACUCCUACGGGAGGCAGCAGUGGGGAAUCUUGCGCAAUGGGCGAAAGCCUGACGCAGCGACGCUGCGUGAGGGAUGACGGCCU